rnacentral:lncRNA from 1 species
UAAGGAUGUAGGCUCUCCAGACAGUCCUGUCAUCACCCCUUCUGGGUAGGGUCCUCCUCUAUGGAAAGGGUGGUCUCCAGGUGAGCUGACUCCAUGUUGCUCCAGCUCCAGAGGCCUGACUAUUCAUGCUUGUUCACUGGGCAGCUUUAGAGGAAGUGAGAGAGGCUUUGUCCACUCAAGAAAGAAGAGGAUAGAAGGACAAUGGCUUCUGAAAUUUCCUGCAGCUGGUGCCUAGGUGGAAGCUGGGUCCUCCCAUGUCAGAAGACACAUUGGAGACACUUUGGUGGAGCCCACUCUGUGGUCGGAACCCUAUAUUCCACUUCCUCUUCUGCUGACAUGUUGCAUGGGUACAGUUGGAGAAAGAUGGAUUAAAUAAACCCAGAGAAAGUCAGCUUCUUGGGUUGUCCUUUUUACCAACUCUUCCCUGAAACCCACCUUCUUUUGGCUCCC